UGCCCAAAUUUUGUUUGAUUCAAUCAAUCCAAUAAAAGCUACAGACGUGACUGAAAAAUGUUGUUUGGGUGGUUUAAUACCCCACCAAACCCUUUCCUCCAUUUUUAAAUCUCAAAAUGACCUUAUUACCCCUGCCAUUUUGAAAAAAUUGACGGACGGAUUAUGCAGUAUGAUGCUGUCGAUGUGGGAUGCGGCUCUGAUACAGAGGGAUGCAGAUGCAGGCAGAUCUCUCCAAACCGCAUAUGCAGGAAAUUGCGAUGCACUGGGUGGCGCAUAACGCCUAAUGCAGAAUGCAGCCGCAUUUUAAAACGUUGUACCAAACAUGCAAAUGGAGUUCUUCAGUCAAGCUGUUUCCUUUUGUAGCUAUACAACUAGCGCUACACAUCCGGGUUCUAUGAGUGAACAACACCAUAAUAUGUUGCUCCAGCUGGCUCGCCAAACAUAAGCAGUUACUCCAAUUAAAAUGUUGAAUUUAUCUGGAUCUCUAUAACAGAAUACAUGUAUAUAUGAAUAUCCUAGUAAUCGAAAUAAAUCGUGAGACUGUACUCUCUCCCACUCAAUUAUAGCACAUAUUGGUUAAGUUUCUUGAUCUUGCCUCCCCGGCUCUAGGUGAUCGGGUGAUACGUAUCUCGGGUUCGAAAGACCCCGGACUUGAGAUGGCUUCUCGAGAACCUUGCUCACAGAAUAAAGGCACGUGUCCAACUAGUGAGAGAGGGAUUUGGGUCGUAAAGCCAGACUUUCCUCACGUAGGUCCGUGACACACUCGAGCUGGCCCACGUGGGCACCCUCUUAAAUCACGUUGGAAAGCUCCCCUGGCCUAUGGCCGGUUUGGAAUCGCCUCCCUUGACCUAUUUUAUCCUUUCCUGUAAACAUACACUCACGCAUUAAAAAUAUAGACAAGUGGGGCAUAAGUCCCCACCUUGUGCUGAUGGUGAAUGAGAUGAAAUAAAAUGAGAAAGAUGAAUUAAAAUAAAAUAAGAUUAGAAGAUGGAAUUAAGAUGAAACAAAAAUAAAAUGGAUUAAAAUAAAAUGAAAUAAAAGAAAAUAAAUAAAAAGGGAUAAAAGAAAAUAAGAUAAAAUGGGGUAAAUGAAAUAAAGUAAAAUAAAUUAAAAUAGAGUAAAGUAAAAUAAAAUAUAAAGGAUGGAAAAAAAUAAAAUAAGAUGAUUAAAAUAAAAUAAAUGAAUGGAGUAAUGGUAAAUAAAUUAAAAUAGAGUAAGGUAAAUAAAAUAAAUGAAAUAAAAUGAGUAAAAUCAAAUGAAAUAGGAGAAAAUAAAUUAAUAUGAAUGAGAUAAAAUAAAGUGAGGGAACAUAAGAUGGAGUGAAAUAAAAACAAAUAGCAUGAAAUAAGCUUAGGGUAAAAUGAUAAAUAAAGAAAAAGGGGAAGGCUUGUUAUUGGAUUGUUUGGGUAUUAUGUGAAUAUAAGAGGAUAACAUUGGAUAAGAGAAAAAAGAAUAAAUUUUGUUUCUUAGAGAGAGAGAGAGAGAGAGAGAGAGAGAGAGUAAUU
rnacentral:lncRNA from 1 species